UGUGCAUAAUUUUCAUUAAAGUAUAAUUAAUUAAGUUAAAAUACAAAUUUAUAUGAAAAUGUAGAGGAAGAGAAAAAGAGUGAUUGAGGAUAAAACAAGAGAAGAAGAAACUAAAAAAAGGAGGAAACAAAAAGGGAAAACAAAAAAAGUGUCGAGAAAGGAAAAAAAUAGAGAGAUCUUCAAAUAGAUCAGAAACGAAGAAGGUAUUAUUGUACAACAUUUAAAAUUUGCACGGGUGCAUUCUUUUAAAUAUUGACAUCCAUGCCGAUAUGUUAUUAUGCAUUCAGAAAGCUAAAGCGGAGAAGAAAGAUUGUGUAAAUAGAUCUGCACGGGUGUGUAAAAGGAAAAUAAGUAGGGAGGAUGUGUAUGAGAUGAGAGGAAUCUGAAAAUAUUGAAUUGAGUUGUUAAUAGCCAGCUGGAAUGGAAAGAGCUUGCUACCAAGGUGUUUGACAAUGAAGAGUUUGUCUUCCAUCAAUUGUUGCUAGAAGAAGAUAUGGAACAAAGGACGUUUCGUGAAGGUGAAACGUGAAAGAAACUGAAGAAGACUUAUGAAGAAGGAGAAUGUUCAAGGGAAGCAAAUAAAACACACUUUGAUAUGCCUGAUUACUUCAUCAGCUUCCAGGAAAUGAUUUUUACUAGUUAUGAAUCAUUGAAUAGAAAGAUAGAGAAGUUGUUUAAUGAAGUUGAGGAAUGGAAUAAUAUUUUGAAAGAAAAAAAUAUUCCAACCCUUGUUGACCAAGAUAAUCAAGAGCCUGACAACAAUGAAGACCCUAGUGGGAGCAAUGGUCAAUCAAAUGAUGGUAAAAUUGAUGAAGGACAAGAUAAUAUGGAAAAUGAAAAUAUGGAUGGGCAAGAAGACAAACCAAGAAAAUACAGAAAAAUCCAAAUGAUGGAGAGUAGGUUAGUGUAUUUGAUUAACUUAAUAAUAUAUAAAUUGUGAUAAUGUUAUAUUGUUUAUUUAUAGAUAUUAUAGCCUAACUAUCAUGUUCAGUAGAAUGCCCCAAAUGAUUGCAUUAAUGCAGAUCUGUAUAGCGUGUGUGUGUCGUAAUAUUAUAUAUAUAUAUAUAUAUAUAUAUAUAUAUAUAUAUAUAUAUAUAUUAUGCUCACUUGUAUUUGAAUAAUAAGCCUAGAGGAAGAGAUAUCUUUGCUUAUCAUCAGGCAUUGAGGAGGAGCAUGAAGAGAGGAAUUCUGCCUUAGAAGAUAAUGAGGUCUCCAUUCACCACAAGAUUUGGAUCAGCCAAAUUGAAAAAGGAAAAAAAAAAAAAAAAGAGUUCAAUAGUCAACAAUUUGAAGCAUCAAGUUUUAAACUAUUCCCACAGGAUGUGUAGUGUAUUGAAGCUGCAUAGAAUGAGUUUAUAUUUUGCUGAAAGUUAUCUGUUGAAAUAUCUACAUAGGUUAAUACUUUUUUUUUUUAUGGUAGUCAAUAUUUUCUGUUGCUAAUAGAUUUUGACAACUAAAAAGUUUUAUGGGUAUAUGAUUGAUGUAACAAAAUAUCUAAUAUUACAAGGUUUGUUGAUAUGU